CCGCGGAAGAUGCUGUUGGUUCAGUCGACUUUCUGAGGUCUCUUUGGACACAGCGUGUCUUGACCAUAACAUCGAGAAGCUCACGUGGGGGCCGAGGUGCAUGCAGCUGCCGCCCGGACGUCCGUCUGACCCGCGUGGACGUCUGCAGAGUCCGUGAGCGCGAAAAUGAACCCAGAGGAGAACUGGUGAGAUCGCGUCCUCUCCGGACCCCGAUCGACAGAGGGAGAGAGUCAGACCCACAGAGCACCUGCCCGGCCGCUGAGUUCAGACCGACUGCACCUCGUGGAGGAGGAAAAAAUGUAGUUAUCGAAUCCAGUCAAGAGUCUGUGUCUCUGGAAUUAUCCACAACAUCCCAUCGGGGAAGGGUCCAGGUGGUCCACAGACGCAUGGCGAUCCAAGGGCCACGUAAAGGUAAGGAUCCGCGCCCGACUCCAGGCUCCGCGUGCAGACGUGUGUGUACUGCCUCAAC
rnacentral:lncRNA from 1 species